ACUUUCAACAACGGAUCUCUUGGUUCUGGCAUCGAUGAAGAACGCAGCGAAAUGCGAUAAGUAAUGUGAAUUGCAGAAUUCAGUGAGCCAUCGAAUCUUUGAACGCACAUUGCGCCCGCCAGCACUCUGGCGGGCAUGCCUGUCCGAGCGUCAUCUC
rnacentral:rRNA from 1 species